GCCGCGUCUCCAGCGCUCAGUCCGCGCCGCAGGUGGUGCUUGUCUGGAGAGCCAUGGCCUCUUUCCGCUUGGCCCUCAUCCAGCUUCAGAUUUCUUCCAUCAAAUCAGAUAACGUCACUCGCGCUUGUAGCUUCAUCCGGGAGGCAGCAACGCAAGGAGCCAAAAUAGUUUCUUUGCCGGAAUGCUUUAAUUCUCCAUAUGGAACGAAAUAUUUUCCUGAAUAUGCAGAGAAAAUUCCUGGUGAAUCCACACAGAAGCUUUCUGAAGUAGCAAAGGAAUGCAGCAUAUAUCUCAUUGGAGGCUCUAUCCCUGAAGAGGAUGCUGGGAAAUUAUAUAACACCUGUGCUGUGUUUGGGCCUGAUGGAACUUUACUAGCAAAGUAUAGAAAGAUCCAUCUGUUUGACAUUGAUGUUCCUGGAAAAAUUACAUUUCAAGAAUCUAAAACAUUGAGUCCGGGUGAUAGUUUCUGCACAUUUGAUACUCGUAUGUACCAGAUAAGUUUGCCUCUUUAGCAAUCUCGGUAGAAGACAAUCAGGUAUUUAUUUCUUUUUUGUCUCUCUCCAAUUUCUUCACAUAACCUAACUGAAUGACCGUUAAGUGAGAAAGGCAGAGAAUCAUCACAGAUCUGGAAAGUUCAGGCUUAUUUGAGAACUAAGGAUUUGACACGAUUUUGCCCUUUGAUUUGAUUGUAGCUUCCUGUUAUGGCUUCCAGAGUAUACCUAUUAGGCUGCGGUUGAGUACCUCCCAUCUAGAUAAUAAGCAUUCAAUUAGAAUGAAUUUCCAUCUUUACUCUGCUGAUGUAAAUGAUGUCUUUAUGAGAUGAAGUCCAAGUAGGAAUGAGCUUGUAAAUUAUCUCUAUCCUCAGGUCCUGUGUUAACUUAUCCCUGUCAGUGUUUUGUGAUCAUUAAGUCCUGGAGGAUUUCCCCUGCCACACCAUGCUGUAGGGAGUUAACUUUUCAUUUGUGCGUUUUCUGUUUGGAAACAGCUUACUGCAGAGUGGGUCUGGGCAUCUGCUACGACAUGCGGUUUGCAGAGCUUGCACAAAUCUACGCACAGAGAGGCUGCCAGCUGUUGGUAUAUCCAGGAGCUUUUAAUCUGACCACUGGACCAGCCCAUUGGGAGUUGCUUCAGCGAGGCCGGGCUGUUGAUAAUCAGGUGUAUGUGGCCACAGCCUCUCCUGCCCGGGAUGACAAAGCCUCCUAUGUUGCCUGGGGACACAGCACCGUGGUGAACCCUUGGGGGGAGGUCCUAGCCAAAGCUGGCACAGAAGAAGCAAUCGUGUAUUCAGACAUAGACCUGAAGAAGCUGGCUGAAAUACGCCAGCAAAUCCCCGUUUUUAGACAGAAGCGAUCAGACCUCUAUGCUGUGGAGAUGAAAAAGCCCUAAAGUUUAUGUUUCUAAUGUGUCACAGAACAGGACGAUAUGAUUCUACAACAUAAUCAACUCCCUAUUAAAUUCUUUAAUGAAGA
rnacentral:sRNA from 1 species